ACGGGAGGCAGCAGUCGGGAAUAUUGCGCAAUGGAGGAAACUCUGACGCAGUGACGCCGCGUGCAGGAAGAAGGUUUUCGGAUUGUAAACUGCUUUAGACAGGGAAGAUAAAAGACAGUACCUAAGGAGGAAGCUCCGGCUAACUACGUGCCAGCAGCCGCGGUAAUACGUAGGGAGCAAGCGUUAUCCGGAUUUAUUGGGUGUAAAGGGUGCGUAGACGGGAAAUUAAGUUAGUUGUGAAAUCCCUCGGCUCAACUGAGGAACUGCAACUAAAACUGGUUUUCUUGAGUGCAGGAGAGGAAAGAGGAAUUCCUAGUGUAGCGGUGAAAUGCGUAGAUAUUAGGAGGAACACCAGUGGCGAAGGCGUCUUUCUGGACUGUAACUGACGUUGAGGCACGAAAGUGUGGGGAGCAAACAGGAUUAGAUACCCUGGUA
rnacentral:rRNA from 1 species